rnacentral:rRNA from 1 species
AGAGUUUGAUCCUGGCUCAGGAUGAACGCUAGCGGCAGGCUUAAUACAUGCAAGUCGUGGGGCAGCAGGUUUGUAGCAAUACAGAUGCUGGCGACCGGCAAACGGGUGCGGAACACGUACGCAACCUCCCUCUAACUGGAAGAUAGCCCAUCGAAAGGUGGAUUAAUACUCCAUAUUAUAUUGAAGUGGCAUCACUUUAAUAUUAAAGCUCCGGCGGUAAGAGAUGGGCGUGCGUCUGAUUAGGUAGUUGGCGGGGUAACGGCCCACCAAGCCUACGAUCAGUAGCUGAUGUGAGAGCAUGAUCAGCCACACGGGCACUGAGACACGGGCCCGACUCCUACGGGAGGCAGCAGUAAGGAAUAUUGGUCAAUGGACGCAAGUCUGAACCAGCCAUGCCGCGUGGAGGAUGACGGUCCUCUGGAUUGUAAACUUCUUUUCUCUGGGACGAAACCCUCGAUUUUCAUCGAGCCUGACGGUACCAGAGGAAUAAGCACCGGCUAACUCCGUGCCAGCAGCCGCGGUAAUACGGAGGGUGCAAGCGUUAUCCGGAUUCACUGGGUUUAAAGGGUGCGUAGGUGGGCAGGUAAGUCAGUGGUGAAAUCUCUGGGCUUAACCCGGAAACUGCCAUUGAUACUAUUUGUCUUGAAUUCUCUGGAGGUAAGCGGAAUAUGUCAUGUAGCGGUGAAAUGCUUAGAUAUGACAUAGAACACCCAUUGCGAAGGCAGCUUACUACGGAGAUAUUGACACUGAGGCACGAAAGCGUGGGGAUCAAACAGGAUUAGAUACCCUGGUAGUCCACGCCCUAAACGAUGAUUACUCGACAUUAGCGAUAUUACUGUUAGUGUCUAAGCGAAAGCAUUAAGUAAUCCACCUGGGAAGUACGAUCGCAAGAUUGAAACUCAAAGGAAUUGACGG